rnacentral:tRNA from 8 species
GCCCGAGUGGUGAAAUUGGUAGACGCAGCGGACUCAAAAUCCGCCGCCGCAAGGCGUGCCGGUUCGAUUCCGGCCUCGGGCACCA